GCUCAUUCAAUGUCUAGAGCAAGCUUUCUGCACUCCACUGCCGGUGCUUUCUGGUUUCAAAAGCAGCUUCGAGACUGAGGAAUCGUAGGCAGGAUUAGACUAAGGCCCGGGAGUUCUACAACCCUGUUGAAUUUAAAAGGACCAUGAUCUUGGUCAGCUAAACCACACCCGAUGGCCAAGGGGCCCAGGAAAAGAUGGCAGGGUAGAAACUCUUGGACUUACUCAUUUGGAUUUUGGAGUUUUACCUGACUUGGUCAAGCCUCAUGCCAGAUCCAGAUUGUGCCUGCUUCCCUUUCACCUUCCAUCAUGAUUGUAAGUUUCCUGAGGCUUCCCCAGCCAGGCUUCCUGUAGAGCCUGUGGAACCAUGAGCCAAGUAAAAAUGGUGCUACCCUUGGAAAUCCAAGAGCAGCUUCAAGAGUCAACUACACUAGCAAUCCCUAAAGCUGGAGAAUUUAUGCCCAUGGAAAAGUCUGUAGCGUUUUGCAAACCAUGAGGCUGAGGAAUAGACCUAGUUCCUGCGGCAGAUCAAAAUGGUAGCCCCUUUUCUUUCCAUGAAAAGAAUUUCUACGGAGACAG
rnacentral:lncRNA from 1 species